ACUCUGUCCUGCUGUCCUGUGAAGAAGGUGUCUGCUUCCUCUUCACCUUCUGCCAUGAUUGUCAGUUUCCUGAGGCCUUCCCAGCCAUGCUGAACUAACAGCUGGUACAAGUGGAUCUGCUCAGCACCUAUAACCUAAUAACCUCUCAGGCUCACACAAGGCUCUGGCCGCUAAGCAAACGAUCUCCCAAAGGGAUUAUUCUCAAGCAGCACAUAAACUGUCCCUAUGCCUCAGGUGGCCCCAGAACUCUUUCGUACUAGAGACUUAUCUGUUAAUAAAGUUAACAAAGGAAGGUGGCCUUCCAAGAAUGUUUGUUUGGGCCACUGCCUGGAAGAAUGAACACUUGACCCUGAGAGACUUGGCUGAGCAGUGCUGGGUCAGCUUAAACAAAGAAGACCAGCCAUCACCCACGGCAAGAGCAGCUCUGACUCGGACCCACUGUUCCCCCAGCCUGUUAGCAGCCCGUGAACAAUCUUUAAGUGACCCCUGGCCCUGUCACAUCUCCACUCAACAGGGCUCUUGGGGAGGAUGUGUGGACCAAGAACAGUGCCCACCCACACCACCUGUAAGUGUGGCCAUGGCAGCCAGCCGGCAUGGAUGCUAAGUAACAAGUGGUGUUGGAGCACAGAUGUGACAGGAGCGCUUUGGGGCAAAGAAAGAGGUGCUGUGAAUGAGGACAGAAAGGAAGGAAAAAAAAGCCUCAUGGGUUAGAGCGCCUCUCACCUUUGGCUCUUCUUCAGAAGACUGGUAAAAGAAAGCAGGAAGAGAAAUUGGUUUCCCUGACUUCUCUAAAGCAAGCGUUCUUCAGAAAAGAGAAUCGAUCAGCCUGGUUAAAGUGGAUAAACUAUCUGAUGUCCAUCCAGAGAGGUGUCUAUUAAUGGCUAUAAAAUGGAAAGAUGAAUCAAUGGGACCGAUUAAUAUUUAUGAAGAGUUGAACUAGGCAGGGUGAAAAAGCCUUGUAUAUUGGAUAAGAAAGGAAAAGCAUUGCACACCAUAGGAUGCGUUUGUUUGGCUAAGGUUUCUGUUUUGAUCACUGGAUAAUUGUAUAGAGCAGGGGCGUACAGUAGAGAAAGAAAAUCUAUAUCUAGAAGUUAUUGACUAUGUGCAAAAGCACUGGUUGGUGCCUAUUUUUGAGGACCACUCCAUCUUAAAAAUAACUGGUUUUGUACGGCCUAGUUGUGGUGGAAAAGGAGCUCCAAAGAGUAAGCAAGUUUCCUACAAAAAGAAUCCAAGCUGUUGAAACUACAAUUAAGAAAUGCAAAGAGUUACUAAUUUUACUACUUAGAGGAAAGGAAAUUUACAAGCAGGAAAGAAACUGUGGAUCAGGGCAAGUUGUAACUCUAGAGGUUCAGAGAUAGGAGCUCUAAUUACACCAGGGCAAGGGAGGACUGUGGGGAAAUUUCUGAAAGAUGAAAUAGGAAAGCUGAGGGUCAAAAUGAAAUAGAGAAGACAUGUUUGCACGGAGCUCAGUUGGGUAAUCAUGAAAAGGAGGAGCGAGGGAGGAAACUGAAAAUCGAAAUAAAGAACAGAAGCACAGACCAUGAAAUAUGCCAAAUAUAGUGUGCAAAUACUCAGAAGGCAUGGAAGGAUAAGUUAGAAGCCAAAACUCAGUUAUCACUCUCGUGUGAAGGAACAAUAGAACUCUUAGCAAAAACAAAUGACUUAGCAUGAGACCAAUACUGCUUUCCUUAGGUAGCUUGGUCCAGAGGGAAAAGGCUGAUAUCACUCCCUAUCAAGGGUUUUAAGACCGUUUAAGUGAGCUCUACAAGUGGGAGACACAGUGAUGAUUAUUGACCGUUGCUAUCUUUCAAGGGGGAGAAGCAAACUGAUGUUACACAUUAGAAUUCGUUAGCACCACCGAACACAGGUUACAAAAAUACUGGGAGGAAUUCUGUCUCCUGAGCACAUUAAGCAAUAUUUGCAAAUGUGUGCAGGUAAGUGUUGACUCUCUCAUCAUGCUGGACCUGGAAAUGGUUCUCAGCAAAUCAUGGCAUGAUUUCUUUUUCAAAGUUGGGUACACGAAUAUUAUCGUAACCAGCUAAGAGCAGGGAGACAUGGCAUGGGAGACUAACAGAUAGUGCAGCUUUUAAGAGAAGAUGUAGAAAUCAAUCUAGUAACAAAUAUUUAUUAAGCAUUGGAGUGUGCUAGGCACCAAGAGAAAAGAAACCUCCACAGCUGAUAAAGCCUUUCAAAAUAAUGUCCUCAGUUAAUUUGCACAUUUCCGUGAGGUAGGUGUUGUUAGCCAUUUCCAUUAAUGAGAAAAAAAAAAUGAGAUUCAGAAAGGUUAAUUAAAUUGGAGAUCUCCUGAUUUUUAGUUUUAUAUCCUUCCCGUGUCCUUUCCAGGCUUAUAUUCUGGUCCUAUCACUUCUCAGCUGAGUUACUUCAACAAGUUAUUUAUCCUCUGUGUUCUCAGCUGUCAAAAUGAAAAUGCCAAUACCUAUCUGGUAAGGAGUGAGAGAACAUUUAUAAAAAUGCUCGGUUGGGUACCUGACACAUAGGAGGUCCUCAGUAAAUUUGUUUUCUCUCCCUUUCUUCCUGAAGUAUGGUGGCAGAUGGAUUCAGCCAGCCAGCCUGGGUAGUGCAAGCCAUGACGCCCUGCUGAAUCUGUGUUCUAGGGUCGGACAGGCGGAGUCCUUUUGCCUAGAGGGACGGUGUGUGAGGCCUAAGAGGACUUGGGCAGAGUCUUGAAGGAGGAGCAGGAUUUGCUGUGGUGGAGAGGUGGUGAGGGGUUGAGCAGAUAGGAGAACCAAGGAAUCAAGGCAGAGAAAGAGAGGGGAUGCAUGUGAAGGGCCAGGAGCUGUUAACUAGUUUGCUAAGCAGCAGGCCAGGAUUUAGAAGGAGUUGGAGAAGCAUGGAGGGCGCUGAGGCUCUUAUGAGGGGAACUUUUAUGCUAAGGGUUCCAACUUGGCCCUGUGAGUGAAGGUGAGCUAGGGAAGUUUUGUGAACUUGGAGUCUCACCUGUUAAGAUUAACCUGGUGCCAGUGUAUAGAAUGGACCGUCAAGGAAGAGGUGGAAAAACAAGGAAAAUUUAUAUUUUAUAGACACACACACACACAUAGACACAGAGCCCUUUUUAUUAUAAAACAUAUAAUUGACUUAAUCCCAUUUUAAGUGGCUUGGACAUUAAUUUUACUCUUGUAAUUGAUUACAGAGGUUUAAAACUGUUGUGUUUUUGCCUUUGUGACAUAUUAUGGCCAUAUCUAAAAUUUAUUUGAUGUUAAAUCAGGAACAAAACUCUUCAAUUCUAUUGUUGUUCCUAAGGUAAAAUAUAAUCUACUUUGAGUCAAUUCACUGUGUCAUAAACUUUCCAGGAAUGGGAAACUUGAUAAAAAGCAGAGACUCACUGCAUAUGACAAUAAUUAAAUCUAUAUUCAACAAGUAUAAAAGAAUGGUUGUAGGGGUGAGCAAUUUGGAAGAAAAAAAGCCACUUGACUUAAAUAUGACAGAAAAUCAUACUGAAGUCUGACACCCCAUGACCUUUUUUGAGAUUUGAGGUUAUGCCAUGUAUUUGAGAAUAAACAAAAUCCAGUUAAGUGUC
rnacentral:lncRNA from 1 species